AUGGCGACCGGCGCACGGGUGAGUAACGCGUAUCCAACCUGCCCUUUACUAUGGGACAGCCCGUCGAAAGGCGGAUUAAUACCGUAUGUUGUCAUGUUGAUGCAUAUUUUCAUGACCAAAGGCUUCGGCCGGUAAAGGAUGGGGAUGCGUCUGAUUAGCUUGCCGGCGGGGUAACGGCCCACCGGGGCGACGAUCAGUAGGGGUUCUGAGAGGAAGGUCCCCCAUAUUGGAACUGAGACACGGUCCAAACUCCUACGGAAGGCAGCAG
rnacentral:rRNA from 1 species